GCAGACACAGGGAUUGCCUCAGUAACGGCGAGUGAAGCGGCAAGAGCUCAACUUUGGAAUCGCUCCGGCGAGUUGUAGUCUGGAGGUGGCCACCACGAGGUGUUCUAGCAGCAGGCAAGUCCUUUGGAACAAGGCGCCAGCGAGGGUGACAGCCCCGUACCUGCUUUUGCUAGUGCUUCCUGUGGCCCACCGACGAGUCGAGUUGUUUGGGAAUGCAGCUCUAAGUGGGUGGUAAAUUCCAUCUAAGGCUAAAUAUUGGCGAGAGACCGAUAGCGAACAAGUACAGUGAUGGAAAGAUGAAAAGCACUUUGAAAAGAGAGUGAAACAGUACGUGAAAUUGUUGAAAGGGAAGGGCUUGCACCCAGACACGGUUUCGGCCGGGCCAGCAUCAAGUAGAACGGGGUUAAAAGACCUGGGGAAUGUAGCUACCUCUUGGUAGUGUUAUAGCCCUUGGGUGAUGACCCCUGUUUUGCUUGAGGACAGCGGUCUCUAGGAUGCUGGCGCAAUGGUUGCAAGCCACCCGUCUUGAAACACGGACCAAGGAGUCUAACGUCUAUGCGAGUGUACGGGUGAAAAACCCCUGCGCGGAAUGAAAGUAAGAGGUUGGAACCCUCUCGGGGGUGCACAAUCGACCGACCCAGAAGUGCUCGGACGGGUUUGAGUAGGAGCAUAGCUGUUGGGACCCGAAAGAUGGUGAACUAUACCUGAAUAGGGUGAAGCCAGAGGAAACUCUGGUGGAGGCUCGUAGCGGUUCUGACGUGCAAAUCGAUCGUCGAAUUUGGGUAUAGGGGCGAAAGACUAAUCGAACCAUCUAGUAGCUGGUUCCUGCCGAAUU
rnacentral:rRNA from 1 species